GGAUGGUUAAAAAGGGCAGUUAUUGCCUUCAAGAAUGGCCAAGGUGGUGUUUAUCUGAGCAGAAAGCGCAUGUUAGGAAACGAUGGAAACCCUUCCCAGUGAAAUGCACUGUGACCACCUCAAAUAACUAUUCAAGAGCUGUGCACCACAUGUUACACGGCGAUGCGUAAUCAGCAGGUUCAGAAAAUGAAGCCCGUAGCCCCAACCCUGAUUACAUGCAAAACAAACGGAAGUAGUCACCGUGGAGCAGUGUAUCACCAGCUGUUUGAACAUCAUCGGGUUGCCCCCAUCGAGCAAACCUCCUAAUUCUUUCAGGUCUUUCUGUUGCAUCUUCAGGAGCAACUGGCUGGUCGGGGCAGCGCAGAAGUAGGAAGGACGCAACUAGGCCAACCACAAAUCGCGUAACUCCUACCAACCCCUCAAUUCCAAGUCGUGCAACAAGAUCUGCGGUUGGCAUCUCUUUCCCAAAUCGUCAAGCACGUGAGCCUGCAGUUGCUCCAGCCCGUAUUCAAGUCGCUGCUUUGGAUGCGCUCACUGCUGGUCCUUCGCAUUCAGCAAGUUGGGCUGUGCUUGUGCACAAUGUAGGUUUUGUACCAAGUGACGACAACCUACAUGACAGAGGUCGAAAAUUUUUUCACUUUCGAAUGCGUACAUUUUAAAGUGAAUUUUAUAGGUAAAAAUUAUUAAUGUAUUCUAAUGAAUUUGAUUUGGGAGGAUACCUAACAAGCUAGGUGCUGUUUUUACUGCUCAAUGCGGAGAUGCUCAGAAACCGAAUACGAAGUAUCGGCAGUAUUAGGAAUGGUAUUUGCUUAUUCAAUUAUAAGAAGUUAAGAAAAGAAAUAUGCUCUCAUCAAUGUAGGGUUGGUGGGGCUACAUUAGUUUUAAAAAAGUUGCUACUAGCGUGUUCGAAUGUAUUGGACAUCACAUAUUUUUUUGGAUGCCACCACUUUCUGAAUUUGUGUCUUCGGAUUAUACCUAGUCAUUUCUAAUCGAUAUACCGGUAUUUACUCGCGUGGUAAUUAUACGGAGACAUUUUUGGCAUCAGCCAAAUUUUAAUUUUCUUUGUGUUAGGAAAGUCACCGUUAUUAGAAUUAAUUUCUCUUAUAGUGUGCGACGGCCGGUAUGACAUGUUUUUUUCAUAUGGUGCAUCUACUUGUAUACCAAAAGUACAGUCGCAAUUCCGUACAGAUUGUAGAUUUUUUCGGGAGCUUAUUCAAUAAAGCAUAUUUUGGUUGACUUCUUCAAUUCCUAAAAUUACAAUAAUUGAAUUUUUGAUGACUUUCCUCAGGCUGAGGCUUCCCAUCAUGUUGAUGCAUAGACUGUUUUAACUGUGGGCUUGGAAUUUUUUGAAAACAUUUGUGCUAGAUAAUAUACUGGUAAUCAUCGUACACUCGGUUAAG